UGGGGAAUAUUGGGCAAUGGAGGGAACUCUGACCCAGCCAUGCCGCGUGCAGGAUGAAGGCGUUAUGCGUUGUAAACUGCUUUUAUAUAGGAAGAAAUAGUCCUUGCGAGGAAAGUUGACGGUACUAUAUGAAUAAGCACCGGCUAACUCCGUGCCAGCAGCCGCGGUAAUACGGAGGGUGCAAGCGUUGUCCGGAUUUAUUGGGUUUAAAGGGUGCGUAGGCGGUUUAUUAAGUCAGUGGUGAAAGACGGUCGCUCAACGAUUGCAGUGCCAUUGAUACUGGUAGACUUGAGUAUGAUUGAGGUAGCUGGAAUGGAUAGUGUAGCGGUGAAAUGCAUAGAUAUUAUCCAGAACACCAAUUGCGUAGGCAAGUUACUAAGUCAUAACUGACGCUGAGGCACGAAAGUGUGGGUAUCAAACAGGAUUAGAUACCCCUGUAGUCCCUGAGCGGGCUGGCAAGGCGCAU
rnacentral:rRNA from 1 species